CCUACGGGCGGCAGCAGUGGGGAAUAUUGGACAAUGGGCGAAAGCCUGAUCCAGCCAUGCCGCGUGUGUGAAGAAGGCCUUCGGGUUGUAAAGCACUUUCAGUGGGGAAGAAAGCCUUGGGGCUAAUACCCUCGAGGAAGGACAUCACCGACAGAAGAAGCACCGGCUAACUCCGUGCCAGCAGCCGCGGUAAUACGGAGGGUGCGAGCGUUAAUCGGAAUUACUGGGCGUAAAGCGCGCGUAGGCGGUCUGAUAAGCCGGUUGUGAAAGCCCCGGGCUCAACCUGGGAACGGCAUCCGGAACUGUCAGGCUAGAGUGCAGGAGAGGAAGGUAGAAUUCCCGGUGUAGCGGUGAAAUGCGUAGAGAUCGGGAGGAAUACCAGUGGCGAAGGCGGCCUUCUGGACUGACACUGACGCUGAGGUGCGAAAGCGUGGGUAGCAAACAGGAUUAGAUACCCUGGUAGUC
rnacentral:rRNA from 1 species